CUUUUAACGAACAUGCCUAAAUACCAUCUUCCCCUGCUUUAGUUAUUCUCGAAAUUGCAAUAAUGAUCUGUGAUCAGUACCAGAUCAACCAGCGUCGUCUCUUUCUGGUAUUAUGAUACGUAGUCGGAAGACUCUGUGUACCGAAUAUGAGCGUUACAUGUUUAAUGCUAAGGUUCCGACGAAUUUCCAGCUGAACAUGUCUUGUUUUUGAAUAGUUUGCUGAAGCAAAUAUGAUUAAAUGGAAAAGAAGUUAAAUGGAUUUUUUU